rnacentral:lncRNA from 1 species
UGAGGAAGGAUCCACUGCACUCAAAACCUGGUCCCAAAUAGUGAGAUUAAAAAGGUAGUGUAAUGUUAGGUUGAAAAGUAAGAGUCCUAGUCACAACUCACAACUCACAACCCAACCUUUCUCCUCUUGCACUCAUUCACCCCACUUUCCUUUCCUUUUCUUUUCUUUCCUCAACAACACUUCAUACACUACACUUUCCCUUACAACACUAUCUUCAUCAACGAUGAAAACAAUAACAUUAUUCAUAAGAGCUUUUUUGAUACUCACCAAUGUCUGUCUGCAUUUAGCAACACCAGAUCACCACCUCAAAACCACCUCCAAGGAACAGAUCCAGUGCACAAUGUGU